rnacentral:lncRNA from 1 species
CUGAAAACAGCCCUCAGACUGUUUUUAGAAGGUCUCCAAAUACUGACCACAUAUGGCCUGUCAUCACAUAUGAGCAUGCUUCAGCACACAGAAAGGGGAAAACCAGCAGCACUCUGUCCCUCACCUUGUUGUCACCAGAUGUCCUCUGCAGAUGCAUCAGAUGUCCUGCUCAGCCACACAACAGAAGGCUUCUGGGGGUUACCCCGUGGGUGGCGAGAUGUUUACACCCUGAAGUGUUCAAGCUCCAGAGCAGCCAUCGCUCCUAUUGUCCUCUCCAGUAACCACAUGUACUUCACACCUUGGAAAGGUAGGAUCCUGGAGCCCCCCAAAACACAUGGCAAAAUGACAUCCUGCCUCAGUGGCUGCCCACUGGCAACAGAAUGUCCAUUAGGCUGCAGGAUGCGGCUGCACAGGCUGGGGCAGGCCUUUCAAUCUCCAUUGACCCGCAAAGAUAAGGGAAGGGAGCAGAUGGCCUUUGCUUAUCACUCCCACAACUCCUCAAGGGGUGAAGGCUGCCAUGUGUGAGUGAGGAGAGCCAGGGCCUCUCCCCCCUCCCCGGCAGCUGUCACCUGUCCCAGCCCGUCCUGCUCUCACGCGCAUAUAUGGGC